CAGCAGCCACGGUAAUACCGAGGGUGCGAGCGUUAAUCGGAUUUACUGGGCGUAAAGAGUGCGUAGGCGGCUUUUUAAGUCGGAUGUGAAAUCCCUGAGCUUAACUUAGGAAUUGCAUUCGAUACUGGGAAGCUAGAGUAUGGGAGAGGAUGGUAGAAUUCCAGGUGUAGCGGUGAAAUGCGUAGAGAUCUGGAGGAAUACCGAUGGCGAAGGCAACCAUCUGGCCUAAUACUGACGCUGAGGUACGAAAGCAUGGGGAGCAAACAGGAUUAGAUACCCGAGUAGUCCCUGUCUCUUAUAA
rnacentral:rRNA from 1 species